CCCUAAGACCUAAAAAGAUAGAAAAACCAGAGAUUUUUGGAGAUCUUAGACCUCCACCAUCAGAGAAAAGAGCGGCGCAACCAAGGGCUCCGGUUCUUCUCUUUUUUUUUUUUUUUUUGAAAUUCUUGUUCUCCAGUAGCCAACAGACCCUACUCUCUCAAGAACAAAAAUCAGCUCAAACUUAACUCCUAAAUCCCAGCGAAAUAGCCACCUAAAUGCCGUAAACCUCAGAUUUCCAAUUCAUUGGUUUAAUCCGAUCCCUUCCCCAAAAAUAAUGAUUUAAUUUUCUAGCUUAAAAAAACGGGACAGAGAAAACAAAUCUGAGCAGUGAGAGAAACAUAGGGACACAAAAAAAAAAAAACGAGAGAGCUAAAAAUGUUCCUUCUGUGUCGAGCUGUGCUGGGAUGUUUGCUGCUCGUUUCGGAGAGUAAUUUUCUGUUUUCCUUAAUCUCUUGAAAUCAGGAUCUGAGGCAGGUACAUCUAGUUAUCAGUCUGGUGCGCACGCUGGACUCCUGGUACAAGAAUAUACGGUGAGCUGCCCUUCCGAGCCGUUUUGCAGCAGGCUAAGUCUCUUUUUGUUAUAUUUUUCUGUCUAUUUCAUUUCAGACAGUAGACUAGUAUUCUUUUGUAUAUUCUACUAGAAUGUCCAUACACUUGUGACACCGAGUCGUGACACACACUAGUAGACUUAUGAUUUUGGGGUGAUUUUUACAGUUGUAAUUGCAUUUAGCUGCUUUCAUUUUGAUUA